AUACGGAGGGUGCGAGCGUUAAUCGGAAUUACUGGGCGUAAAGCGUGCGUAGGCGGUUUGCUAAGUCAGAUGUGAAAGCCCCGGGCUUAACCUGGGAACUGCAUUUGAUACUGGCAGACUAGAGUAUGAUAGAGGGGGGUAGAAUUCCUGGUGUAGCGGUGAAAUGCGUAGAUAUCUGGAGGAAUACCAGUGGCGAAGGCGGCCCCCUGGAUCAAUACUGACGCUGAGGUACGAAAGCGUGGGGAGCGAACAGGAUUAGAAACCCUAGUAGUCC
rnacentral:rRNA from 1 species